UACAGAGGGUGCAAGCGUUAAUCGGAAUUACUGGGCGUAAAGCGCACGUAGGCGGUUUUUUAAGUCAGAUGUGAAAGCCCCGGGCUCAACCUGGGAAUUGCAUUUGAAACUGGGAAACUAGAGUGUGUGAGAGGGGGGUAGAAUUCCAAGUCUAGCGGUGAAAUGCGUAGAGAUUUGGAGGAAUACCAGUGGCGAAGGCGGCCCCCUGGCACAACACUGACGCUCAGGUGCGAAAGCGUGGGGAGCAAACAGG
rnacentral:rRNA from 1 species